UAGGGGUAAGGAGACAGGGAUACUGGAGUAAUAGAGGUAGAUAUGUAUAGGGGUAAGGUGACAGGGAUACUGGAGUGAUGGAGGUAGAUAUGUAUAGGGGUAAGGAGACAGGGAUACUGGAGUGAUGGAGGUAGAUAUGUAUAGGGGUAAGGAGACAGGGACACUGGAGUGAUGGAGGUAGAUAUGUAUAGGGGUAAGGAGACAGGGACACUGGAGUGAUGGAGGUAGAUAUGUAUAGGGGUAAGGAGACAGGGACACUGGAGUGAUGGAGGUAGAUAUGUAUAGGGGUAAGGAGACAGGGAUACUGGAGUGAUGGAGGUAGAUGUGUAUAGGGGUAAGGAGACAGGGACACUGGAGUGAUGGAGGUAGAUAUGUAUAGGGGUAAGGAGACAGGGACACUGGAGUGAUGGAGGUAGAUGUGUAUAGGGGUAAGGAGACAGGGACACUGGAGUGAUGGAGGUAGAUGUGUAUAGGGGUAAGGAGACAGGGACACUGGAGUGAUGGAGGUAGAUGUGUAUAGGGGUAAGGAGACAGGGACACUGGAGUGAUGGAGGUAGAUGUGUAUAGGGGUAAGGAGACAGGGAUACUGGAGUGAUGGAGGUAGAUAUGUAUAGGGGUAAGGAGACAGGGAUACUGGAGUGAUGGAGGUAGAUAUGUAUAGGGGUAAGGUGACAGGGAUACUGGAGUGAUGGAGGUAGAUAUGUAUAGGGGUAAGGAGACAGGGAUACUGGAGUGAUGGAGGUAGAUAUGUAUAGGGGUAAGGUGACAGGGAUACUGGAGUGAUGGAGGUAGAUAUGUAUAGGGGGAAGGAGACAGGGAUACAGGAGUGAUGGAGGUAGAUAUGUAUAGGGGUAAGGUGACAGGGAUACUGGAGUGAUGGUGGUGACAGGGAUACUGGAGUAAUAGAGGUAGAUAUGUAUAGGGGUAAGGUGACAGGGAUACUGGAGUGAUGAAGGUGACAGGGAUACUGGAGUAAUAGAGGUAGAUAUGUAUAGGGUAAGGAG